rnacentral:rRNA from 1 species
CCUACGGGGCGCUGCAGUGGGGAAUAUUGGACAAUGGGCGAAAGCCUGAUCCAGCCAUGCCGCGUGUGUGAAGAAGGCCUUCGGGUUGUAAAGCACUUUCAGUGGGGAAGAAAGCCUUGGGGCUAAUACCCUCGAGGAAGGACAUCACCCACAGAAGAAGCACCGGCUAACUCCGUGCCAGCAGCCGCGGUAAUACGGAGGGGUGCGAGCGUUAAUCGGAAUUACUGGGCGUAAAGCGCGCGUAGGCGGUCUGAUAAGCCGGUUGUGAAAGCCCCGGGCUCAACCUGGGAACGGCAUCCGGAACUGUCAGGCUAGAGUGCAGGAGAGGAAGGUAGAAUUCCCGGUGUAGCGGUGAAAUGCGUAGAGAUCGGGAGGAAUACCAGUGGCGAAGGCGGCCUUCUGGACUGACACUGACGCUGAGGUGCGAAAGCGUGGGUAGCAAACAGGAUUAGAUACCCUAGUAGUC